UCUCUCUCUCUCUUUAAAAAAAAGGGGGGGUGUGAUUUACUUUUCCAUGAUAUUGAGGCCUUCUUAAUAAUAGUUUUUCAUUACUUCUCAGUUUCCUCAAAAGAUGCAGAAGCACUUAAUGAGAUUUUUUUUUUUUUACUUUGUAGCAAUAGAAGGAGAUAGACUGUUUAGAUCUGUACCUGUCCUGUGGCUGCCAUUGUUGCCAGUCAUAAAAACGAUGUAACAAUGUUGGUCUGGCUGUAAAAUCCCCUUCUCUUUUUUUUUUUUUUUUUAAAUAUUUAUUUAUUUUUUUAGUUUUCAGUGGACACAACAUCUUUGUUUGUAUGUGGUGCUGAGGAUCGAACCCGGGCCGCACGCAUGCCAGGCGAGCGUGCUACCGCUUGAGCCACAUCCCCAGCCCAAAAAAUCCCCUUCUCAAAAUGCAAGAAAAGGAGAAUAUCAGGCUGAGGAUACAGCUCAGUUGGUAGAGUGCUUGCCUUACAUGCACAAGGCCCUGGGUUUGAUCCCUAGCAUCACAAAUAUAUAAAUAGAAAUCCUGAUAAUGUCCAUCUUUAAUUUAGAAAUUGAGGAUGAGAAUGAAUAAAAGUGUUAAACUACAACAGAAACUUAUAUGCUUUUUGUCCAGAACUAUUUGAUGACCUAUGAAGAAGCCAUAAGGAGCCUAGAAAGGACAGGUUGACUGCACCUGAGUUAUUUAAUAUUAUGAGUAAGUUGCAACAUCAACUCCUAACACUGAAAAAAUAACUCAUUGUUUUUUUGAAAGAAGGUUGCUUUAGAAUUCAAAACAACAUCACCAAAAAAAGGGCAACCAAGUUAAACAGACUUUCUCAAUUGCUUUAUAAGAACAAUAACCUUUUUGAAAUCCACUUUCGAUUUUACAAGUUCAGAUUGCCUCUGGUGCUUGGCUGGGCAUGUAGUACAUGCCUCUAAUCCCAGCAGCUCUGGAGGCUGAGGCAGAAGGAUUCUAAAUUCAAGGCCAGCCUCACUUGGCAACUUAGCAAGGAGGCUCUAAGCAACUUGGUAAGAACCUAUCUCAAAAAAGAAAAGAAAAAGGCUGGGGAUGUGGCUCAGUGGUAAAGUGCCUCUGGAUUCAAUCUCCAAACCCUCCAAACAAAAAAUUACCUUUGUGCUUUAAAACCAUUUUCCCCGAGGAGAAGUUUAACUUAAUAACAUUCAGUGUACUUCAGAAUGAUUAGAAAUGAUGAGCAUUUUAGACAUGCAUUGCCUUUAUGAUGCAGAGGAUACAGAGAAUUGACUGACAAACAGGUGGUCUAUCCAGACAAGCCAGUAGAUAAAAGAUAGAUGGACAUUUUUGGAGAGCUAGAAAUAAAUUCCUACAAGUCUGAAGAUCUGCUGUUGCCAGUAAGCAAAACCCUAAUUAUUCCAUGCCCAGUGUUUUUAUUGAGAGAAUAUUCCGAGUGAUGUCAUCACAUUGGACUGACACCAGGAGUCCAUGUAAUGUGGACUUGAUAAGAGCAAGCUACAAGUCCAGGAGAAUUUCACAUCUGACUGUGUUCAGUUUUUUUUUUUUUUAUGUCCUUUAUUGUACUUUUUCCUAGUAAAGAAUAUAAUCCAGGACUACACAUUGUAUUUAGUUGCCUUGUUUCUUUAGUUUGGUUUAUUUAUUUAUUUUGUAAUUUUAAUAUUUAUUUUUUAGUUUUCGGCAGACACAACAUCUUUGUUUGUAUGUGGUGCUGAGGAUCGAACCGGGGCCGCACGCAUGCCAGGCGAGCGCGCUCCCGCUUGAGCCACAUCCCCAGCCCCCUGACUGUGUUCAGUUUUACCCCUGCAGAAAAGAAUGGUGUCCUCCAGGUUGCAGGUGGUUCAGAGAAGGAUUACUGGAGAAGGAAGGCAGAAGAGUAAAACUUUACACAUCCAGGCAUCUGGCGCCCAGUGGUAAUCCCAGCUGCUUGGGAGACUGAGGACCAAUUAUCCUUCGUGAAGAGAAGCUCUGAAUAAUUACUUUUGGCUCAUGGGAUAAGGCAGACCUUUCAGUUUGAGCUGGGCCUGCACAGACAAACCCAAAGAAAGACUUUCGAGAGAGAAACAGCUGAAUUAGGAAAAGAUCCAGUACUGGGUGCGUGUUGACUUGUCAGGAGAAAAAUAAAGGGAUUCGUUUGACCUAAAAAGGUCAGUUGCAA